CGUACGGGUAAUUUCGGUAACCAGUGGUGAACGGGUGAGUAAGACGUAAGUAACCUGGCCCGAAGCGGGGGACAACUCUGGGAAACUGGAGCUAAUACCGCAUGUAGUGACGGGACCCAGGUCCCGCCACUAAAGCCUUCGGGCGCUUCGGGAGGGGCUUGCGUCCGAUUAGCUUGUUGGUGGGGUAACGGCCUACCAAGGCGACGAUCGGUAGCUGGUUUGAGAGGAUGACCAUCCACACUGUAACUGAUACACGGUCCAGACUCCUACGGGAGGCAGCAGCAAGGAAUAUUGCGCAAUGGGCGAAAGCCUGACGCAGCGACGCCGCGUGGGGGAUGAAGGCCUUCGGGUUGUAAACCCCUUUUCUCAGGGAAGAAUAAUGACGGUACCUGAGGAAUAAGUCUCGGCUAACUACGUGCCAGCAGGCGCGGUAAUACGUAGGAGGCGAGCGUUAUCCGGAUUUACUGGGCGUAAAGCGGGUGUAGGCGGCUCUUCAAGUCGGAUGUGAAAUCUCUCGGGUUAACUGGGAGGGGUCAUUCGAUACUGCUGGGCUUGAGUGCAGCAGAGGAAAGCGGAAUUCCCGGUGUAGUGGUGAAAUGCGUGGAUAUCGGGAGGAACACCAGUGGCGAAGACGGCUUUCUGGGCUGUAACUGACGCUGAGACCCAUAAGCGUGGGGAGCAAACAGGAUUAGAUACCCUGGUAGUCCACGCCGUAAACGAUGGAUACUAGGUAUAGGGGGUAUCGACCCCCUCUGUGCCGAAGCUAACGCUUUAAGUAUCCCGCCUGGGGACUACGCCCGCAAGGCUAAAACUCAAAAGAAUUGACGGGGGCCCGCACAAGCAGCGGAGCGUGUGGUUUAAUUCGAUGCAACGCGAAAAACCUUACCAGGGCUUGACAUGUUGGAAGUAGAAACCCGAAAGGGGGACGACCUGUUAAGUCAGGAACCUUCACAGGUGCUGCAUGGCUGUCGUCAGCUCGUGCCGUGAGGUGUCGGGUUAAGUCCCAUAACGAGCGCAACCCCUGUUGCCAGUUACACUCUCUGGCGAUACUGCCCCGCAAAACGGGGAGGAAGGCGGGGAUGACGUCAAGUCAGCAUGGCCCUUAUGCCCUGGGCUACACACACGCUACAAUGGGCGGUACAGCAGGUUGCAAUGG
rnacentral:rRNA from 1 species